UUGUAGUCAUAUGCUUGUCUCAAAGAUUAAGCCAUGCAUGUCUAAGUAUAAGCAAUUAUACGGCGAAACUGCGAAUGGCUCAUUAUAUAAGUUAUCGUUUAUUUGAUAGUGCCCUACUACUUGGAUAACCGUGGUAAUUCUAGAGCUAAUACAUGCUAAAAAUCCCGACUUCGGAAGGGAUGUAUUUAUUAGAUUAAAAACCAAUGCCCUCUGGGCUCUUUGGUGAUUCAUGAUAACUUCUCGAAUCGCACGGCCUUGCGCCGGCGAUGGCUCAUUCAAAUUUCUUCCCUAUCAACUUUCGAUGUUUGGGUAGUGGCCAAACAUGGUUGCAACGGGUAACGGGGAAU
rnacentral:rRNA from 1 species